UCCAUGUUUGCGGUAUUUCGGAGUGUCUCUUUACAAAAAGGAAAAUGGGUGCAGGUUGGGGUUGGGUUGGGUUGUGCGUUUGUGCCCAAGAAAGCUUAAAAUCGAAGGCUGAGCUCGGGCUUGAUACCUUUUCAGCACCGAAUAUCUGGACGGAAUUCUCUAAUCCCCAUUAUUCUGUUGUCAGCUCCAGUGAUUUUUCUUAAUUAGGAAAACUCUCGUUGGUUUCAUACCUUGUUUUUCACAUUCACCCAUCUCGCUAAGGGAUUCUCCAAGUUCGAAAUAUAAAAAAAUAUAUAUAUAUCAACAUGGUUGAGAGGAAAUUAUUCAAGACGAAGCUGUGCGUGUUGUAUCAGAAGGGCCGCUGCUCUCGCAAUAGUUGCUCGUUCGCGCACGGAAACUCGGAGCUCCGGGGAGUAUCCGGCUCCUAUACUGACCGGAUUGUGCUGGUCGGUUGGGUGGUUGUUUUAUCUCAACGACGACUGUGGUAUUUACAUGGAGAGCUUUAUCAUGGUUAUAAUGCAUCCACGAAUCAUCAAACUAGGCGGGAUCAUCAUGGUAGUGACUUGAGGAGUAAGCUUGGAAGAAGGCACUCUCCACCACAAAGGUUUUCACCAGUGAGAGAUACAAGAGGCCGACAAAAACUUCGUGAGUAUAGCUCUUCCAUGUCACUUGAACGAACAAGAAAACGUAGGAAGAAACAGCACUUUGAUGGUCAAGGUGAUUUUUCUGGAAGUUUGAGAAUCUCUGAGGGAACUGAAGAUCAGAUCAAAGAAGGAAAAACCGUGUCCGCCAAUCCCAGGGAUGUUCUCGAGGAGCAGUUGAAGCAAAUGCAGUUGGAUAUUAAUGUGCUUGAACAUCGGAAACUUCAACUAGGGGUCUUUUUGGAAGAGAGGGUCCAAGAAGCGGAUAGUCUGACUUCUAGAAUUCAAGAGCUUGAGGCUCAAUUAUACAAAGAGAAAGAGGAAUGUAAAAGGAUCACCUCAAGAAUGAAGAAGUUUGUGAAGGCACAGAAUCGUCAUUCACGUAUACAAGAUGAACUGAAGAGAUCACAAGUGCGACUUCAGAAGUUGGGAGAUCAACUUGGUUCUGAUAUUAAUAGAAAUGUUGCCAAUGAAGAGGAUUCCAUAAAUAUUGUGAGUGAUGGAGAAACUGGUGGUUUUCCUGUAACCACUCCACACGAUGAGCUGCAGAAUGAUGCUUCUUCCGGCAAGAAAGGGCUUUGUGUUAAUCAAGAUCCUUCUAAAGGACCAAAACAAGCUGAUUUAACAAAACUAGGACAUCCGGAAAAAACAAUCCGAUCCAAGAAGCUUUCUAGGUGGAAUCUGCAACCUGUUCCACUAAAUGAAGGUAACGAAAUUAAGGCAAUGAACAAUGGAAAUGACAGUACUAAGAGCCUUGCGAAUGAAGGCAAGCUUAAACGAAGAAAAACUGUUACUGCUAGCAUCCUCACUGCAGUUAAGAUGAAGGGUUUGGAGUCAGCACCUGUGGUACCACCAACCAGCAUGGCUGCUCAUGUAGAAGAUGAAGUUGAAAUUGAAUUGGAGGACAGAACUGGAGUGUUUGAAACUGCCACUACAGGAAUUGAGAAAGGACCCGCUAAUGAGAUCAUGGGUGUGCCAUUUCCACUUCCCCCGCCUCCUCCAAUCCGUCAGAAUAGUUAUUCGCUGUAUAAGGGUGAUAAUGAGAACGUGGAUGUGGAUGGGCUCGAAGAAGAGAUUGUUAAUGUAGACACUAUUUGAUAUUUAAAUGCAUUGUAUUUAAAAAAGAAAAAAAUUGAUGGAAAAAUCACAUCAAGGUAGGAAUAUGAAAUCAAACUCAGAAUGCCUGAAUUUUGACCACCUGAAACAAACAUGACUAAGAAAAGCCAAAGCACCAUUGCUGAUGCUGCUGCUGCCACUGCCACUGCCACUGCAAAUAAUCUGACAAUGAGAAUAAUUUGGACAGAUAAAAUGUUGGAAAAUUAUCUUGACGUAUGUAUUAGCGAGGUUCAGGCUGGUAACCGCCCAAGAACACAUUUUAAUAAGAUAGGGUGGAGAAACGUGAUAAACAAAUUUAGUGAAAAGAUGGGCAGACAAUAUUCCUAUAAACAACUUAAGAACAAAUGGGAUAAUUUGAAAAAAGAUUGGAAUAUUUGGAUGAAAUUAAUAGGAAAUGAAACUGGCCUUGGAUGGGAUCCAGUGAAAAAAACAAUUGAUGCUACCGAGGCUUGGUGGGCAAAAAAGUUGCAGGAAAUUCCAGAAGCAGCUAAGUUUCAGAGUGUAGGUUUGGCUCAUGUUGCAAAGAUGAAAAUAUUGUUUAACGAUAUAACUACCACCAAUGAGAUGGCUUGGGCACCUUCCUCUAGGCUGCCUUUUGAUGAUAUUGGUUCCGCAACUGAUGCAGGUGUGAGUUGUGACAAGGAUAAAAAUGUGUUGUUAGAGCAUUUAGAUGACUCGGAUGACGAAUCUGAUCUCGAUGCAAAUGAUAGUGAUGAUAUUUCUGCUGAUUUUGACACCCAGGAUAAAGGAAAGAAAUGGUUUAGUUCUAGAGUGCAAGUUAGGAAAAGGAAAAAUGAAGUUCAAAUCAUUGAUCAACACUUCAGUCGUAUUUGUGAUGCACUAGAAAGGAGUUUAAUGAGAUCCGGGGAUAUUGAUAAACCUAGAUGUAGUAUUAAAGAGGUCAUGGAUGUUGUCUUCGAGAUUAUCAAGAUAGAAGAUAACAUUGACAUUCUUACGAAGGCGAGCGAGGUACUGCUUACUAGAUCACAUAGAGAGAUGUUCGUGGCCCUUAAAGACCCAGAGUUUCAGCUUGAUUUCAUUAAGCGGAUGGGAAAUAAAAAAGUCAAGAAUUGAAGUGUUAUCGUGUUGUUUUGUUGGGGAGACCUUAUUAUUAUUAUUUUUUUAAAAUGUUGUUUUGUUAUCAACUAUCUGAAAAAUUGCAAGGUUUUAUCUUUUUGUUGUGUUUUUAAUGGCUGACAGCAUGAAGCAUUGUAAUGCUACUUAAGACAAAUUAUAUCCCUACUCUGUUCAUGA